rnacentral:rRNA from 1 species
AGAUUAUGCUUCGUAGGUGACCUGCGGAAGGAUCAUUAUCGUUGGGCUUCGGCCCAUUCGAGAUAACACCCUUGCCUUUUUGAGUACCUUUUCGUUUCCUCGGCAGGCUCGCCUGCCAACGGGGACCCUUCAAAACGCUUUGUAAUACCUGUAAUUGUCUGAUAUAACAAGCAAAAAUCAAAACUUUCAACAACGGAUCUCUUGGUUCUGGCAUCGAUGAAGAACGCAGCGAAAUGCGAUAAGUAGUGUGAAUUGCAGAAUUCAGUGAAUCAUCGAAUCUUUGAACGCACAUUGCGCCCUUUGGUAUUCCUUAGGGCAUGCCUGUUCGAGCGUCAUUUAAACCUUCAAGCUCAGCUUGGUGAUGGGUGACUGUCCUCCCCUCGCGGGGGGACUCGCCUCAAAAACAUUGGCGGCCGGUACAUUGGCUUCGAGCGCAGCAGAAACGCGGUCUCGAGUCCUCUGAAUCGGCUCCCAUAAGCCUCUUUUUUAUUUUGACCUCGGAUCAGGUAGGGAUACCCGCUGAACUUAAGCAUAUCAAAAAG